UGGGGAAUUUUGGACAAUGGGCGCAAGCCUGAUCCAGCCAUGCCGCGUGCAGGAUGAAGGCCUUCGGGUUGUAAACUGCUUUUGUACGGAACGAAAAGCCCCCUUCUAAUAAAGGGGGGUGAUGACGGUACCGUAAGAAUAAGCACCGGCUAACUACGUGCCAGCAGCCGCGGUAAUACGUAGGGUGCAAGCGUUAAUCGGAAUUACUGGGCGUAAAGCGUGCGCAGGCGGUUAUGUAAGACAGAGGUGAAAUCCCCGGGCUCAACCUGGGAACUGCCUUUGUGACUGCAUAGCUUGAGUGCGGCAGAGGGGAUGGAAUUCCGCGUGUAGCAGUGAAAUGCGUAGAUAUGCGGAGGAACACCGAUGGCGAAGGCAAUCCCCUGGGCCUGCACUGACGCUCAU
rnacentral:rRNA from 1 species